rnacentral:rRNA from 1 species
GACGAACGCUGGCGGCGUGCUUAACACAUGCAAGUCGAACGGAAAGGCCCCUUUGGGGGUACUCGAGUGGCGAACGGGUGAGUAACACGUGAGUAACCUGCCCUUGACUUCGGGAUAACUUCAGGAAACUGGGGCUAAUACCGGAUAGGAAUCCUUGCUGCAUGGUGGGGGUUGGAAAGCUUCGGCGGUUUUGGAUGGACUGGCGGCUUAUCAGCUUGUUGGUGGGGUAGUGGCUUACCAAGGCUUCGACGGGUAGCCGGCCUGAGAGGGCGACCGGCCACAUUGGGACUGAGAUACGGCCCAGACGCCGACGGGAGGCAGCAGUGGGGAAGAUUGCACAAUGGGCGGAAGCCGGAUGCAGCAACGCCGCGGGCGGGAUGACGGCCUUCGGGUUGUAAACCGCUUUCAGCAGGGGCGAAGCUUGUGGUGACGGUACCUGCAGAAGAAGCACCGGCUAACUACGUG